rnacentral:lncRNA from 1 species
UGAAAUUCAAACCAAACUUAAACAUAUCAACCUACGAACAUAACCGGACGAGUUAUACUACAAAUACAUAAGUUCAGAGCAUAGGUAACUGCAGUCAAGUAGGACUAAAAUAAGAAUACAUCACCCUCAGGUGAGUCCUACAUGUCGAGGGUCUGUCAGAAAGCCGGAAAAGGACCUCGUGAGCCACCCACCGCUAAACUAGAACCUGGAGGGGCGCAAAACAAAAUGAGUGGGUCAGUAAAAUCAAAUAGUUUUCCAAAACAGUUCAUUCAAACAUUUUUAUCCCCUCGCCGUAAAAACCUGUAUACUUUCCCAGAAAAUAGUAUAUAAACAUAUAUAUAUGCAAUCUCCUAACUCAACACACAUUCAUCAUCAUAAUAUCUCAGAAAUGAUAUGUCAUGCCCAAAAUAUAAUCAGAAUGUAUCAAUAUCAAUCAGGUGAAUAAUAAGUCAACCGGAGACCCUAAUGGUCUUGUACGGCUGAUUCUAAAGCUCAACAUCCAAUCUAACCGGAGUCACCUCGGUGACCUGUACGGUCUAACUCUGCAUGUCACUCGGAACUACAUAAGGUAGUCUGUACGACGACAGGUGUAUAAAUACGCUAUAGUGCUUCUCACAUCAAUCAUCAGCGCGCAUAUCUAAGGUCACCCACCAGUCGGAACCCCUCUAAUGGUCUGUACGACUGGCAUGUCGGAACCCUCACAUGGUCUGUACGACAUCCACCUACUUGGAUCCAAGACGAGCGUGCGGUGUGGUGAAUAACAAUAUAAGCACUAUCACCUAGGUGCAGGUUAUGAGCUUUCAAUGCAAUUCAUAUAAGUAACUCAGCUGGAAAUAAAUAAACUCACCUGAGCGUCCACCGCGUCAUUUCACGCACAUAUAUAUCAAUUAUCAAAUCCAAUAUUUCGAUAUUUUCAUGCAUGGCAAUUUAAAUUCAUAAAACUCGUAUUUUCUGGGAAAAUAAAUGUAUAUAGGUAAAUACGAAAUCAAAACUGCCCACUCACUGAUAAGUCGACGGGUCGUAACCCCUGUGGCGUCCCUGGAUGCGGUCGUCCUCGGGAUACGUCUCACCUAUAUGCGAAACAACUAUAAAAAUGUUAAUUUUAAACACAUCACCAAUAUCUCGAAAUAACUUCUCAUACGAUGCUCAAUUUGGGUAUAUGAAUAUACCACAUCGACCUACUCGACGUCACGAGCGUCGGGAAAUUUUUAGAAAAAAAUUUGGAGGGCUCACGCGCCCCCACGCGCCGCACAUGGCACGGGCCUACGCGCCCCCCACACGCCCUUCUUCUUCCUUGGGUCGCCGGACUGGUUUUUCCGGCGACCGUUUUCCGGCCAAUUUUAAAACUUCCUAAUAUCCUUCGUUUCUCACCCAUUUUCUUCGUAUUUUAUAUCAAAUUGAAGCCCCAAACAUGUAGAAUCACGUUGGACUAGUUUUAGGGUCUAAAAAUCAAGGAAUCUCACAGGGAAAAUUCCAAGAAUUCGACCAACUUUGAAACCCACGAUCCCGACGUCCAAAACUCUCCAACGAACGUCCCCGAGCUUCCUUAGGACCUCCUAAAGCUCACUACAAGCUUAGAAUUCCCUGAAACACGACAUUUUACGUGUGCAUGAACAGUAACUCAAAAAUGGAGGUUCGGGUUCUAUGUGAUUUCGAGGGUUUCACUUCCUAAAACUAGCACCAAUGAACUUAGAACGUCGAAAGGAUGAAGAUGCAUACCUUGGUUGCCUCGAUCCUUCGAGUUUUGGA